rnacentral:lncRNA from 1 species
AUCGGGAAAACUUUGCCUUAGAACCAGAAAUAAUUAUAGAUCAAGAAUCCAAACAAUUUUUUUCCAAACGGAAGAGAAGAUAGACAUCAAAUAUUUUAUACAUCUAUCCUACAAGCACGGACCAAUGGCUUCAUUCCCUAACCCAACCUGGGAGAUAAAACAUCUCAACUCACCGGUUCCAACCAGGUAAAUACCCUUGGAUCAAGUCUCUGCAACAUCUCAGCUGUUUGAUGACCUAUUCAACAUCAGGGUAAAAGAAUGCAAGGCAUGUUAUUAAAGAACAAAACAAAACCAAAACAAAUACACACUCAAAAGAAUACAACCCCGUGACCGUGAGGCCUAUAAACUCAUAGUCCCAGCCUUUAGAUCCACAAGAUCAAUGCUUUAUAUAAAAUCCUUAUAACAGUGACCUUAGAUUUAAGCCACACAGGCUGUGACAAAGCAUUACUUCAUCAGAAUUCCAAGUUACCUAAGCCAAUUGGGAGUUUGAAAUUAAAGUAUGCCAAUUUUAGAAUUGCACCACAAAAAUCAAGCUUCUUGCAGUAAUCAUAUCAACAAGACAACAGGUUUCCGAAUUGAUAAUCUACCAAAAGAAGAGGGCAAAAUCACAAACCCAAUUUCACAUUCUAAAAACCUAGACUUUACAGAAAUUACGAAGCUAAAACCCUAACAAUCCACAUUUUAAAUAAAACGACCAGCAUCAAAAGCAGAGAAUUAGUGGAAAGCCCAAGGCAACACAACAAAAUUGAGAACAGAACCCAAAUUACACAAUCGGAAUAAAAAUAGCUCCAGUAAAGCAAAUCGUACCAUUUCCAAAGAACUCAUAGGAGCUUGAAAGAAGUGAAGCCAUGGGGGGAGUAAAUAUCCAAAUAGAUCCAGUUUGGCAAACCCUAAUAAGUGAGAAAGAGAGAGAGACAGAUUUAAAGAGAGCUUAGGAGAAAGCGAAAGCGCACAGAUAUCUAUAAAAGAGAGAGACUUGUUGCCGUUACGCGAGUCCAAGCCAAAGGUCUCUCUUUGUUUUUG